ACAUCCCCACCAGCCUGCAGCUUGUCAGCACUGCCUUCGCCUGUUUCUCUGUAUGACGGUCGUCCUGCUGGGUGUGAAGUGCUGUCUCCCUUCGGUUCUGAUCUGCGUUUCCCUCAUGCCUGAUGAUACCCUCCAGUCCACUGCUGAGCAGCAAUGGAGAGAGUGGGCACCCUCGUCUUGUUCCUGAUCUUGGGGGAAGCGCUCAGCCUUCCACCACGAAGGGUGCUGUCAGCUGUGGGCUUCCACAGAUGCCCCGUAUCAGGGUCGUGGCGCUGUCAUUGUGACCUAGCAAAAUGAACAGCCCCUUUACGUCACCUGAUGCUCCAGGCCUAAUGCAGGUUUCCCGGGCUGUCUGAAAACCCCUUUCUAC